rnacentral:rRNA from 1 species
CUGGUACUGAGACACGGACCAAACUCCUACGGGAGGCAGCAGUGAGGAAUAUUGGUCAAUGGAGGCAACUCUGAACCAGCCAUGCCGCGUGCAGGAUGACGGUCCUAUGGAUUGUAAACUGCUUUUGUACAGGAAGAAACAUUACUACGUGUAGUAACUUGACGGUACUGUAAGAAUAAGGAUCGGCUAACUCCGUGCCAGCAGCCGCGGUAAUACGGAGGAUCCGAGCGUUAUCCGGAAUUAUUGGGUUUAAAGGGUUCGUAGGCGGUUAGAUAAGUCAGUGGUGAAAUUUCCUAGCUUAACUAGGGCACUGCCAUUGAUACUGUUUAACUUGAAUAGUAUGGAAGUAACUAGAAUAUGUAGUGUAGCGGUGAAAUGCUUAGAUAUUACAUGGAAUACCAAUUGCGAAGGCAGUUACUACGUACUUAUUGACGCUGAUGAACGAAAGCGUGGGGAGCGAACAGGAUUAGAUACCCUGGUAGUCCACGCCGUAACGAUGGAUACUAGCUGUUCGGUCUUCGGACUGAGUGGCUAAGCGAAAGUGAUAAGUAUCCCACCUGGGGAGUACGUUCGCAAGAAUGAAACUCAAAGGAAUUGACGGGGGCCCGCACAAGCGGUGGAGCAUGUGGUUUAAUUCGGUGAUACGCGAGGAACCUUACCAGGGCUUAAAUGUAGAUUGACAGAUUUGGAAACAGAUUUUUCUUCGGACAAUUUACAAGGUGCUGCAUGGUUGUCGUCAGCUCGUGCCGUGAGGUGUCAGGUUAAGUCCUAUAACGAGCGCAACCCCUAUUGUUAGUUGCCAGCGAGUAAUGUCGGGAACUCUAGCAAGACCGCCGGUGCAAACCGUGAGGAAGGUGGGGAUGACGUCAAAUCAUCACGGCCCUUACGUCCUGGGCUACACACGUGCUACAAUGGCAAGUACAGAAAGCAGCUACCUGGCAACAGGAUGCGAAUCUCCAAAGCUUGUCUCAGUUCGGAUUGGAGUCUGCAACUCGACUCUAUGAAGCUGGAAUCGCUAGUAAUCGGAUAUCAGCCAUGAUCCGGUGA